AACGAACGCUGGCGGCAGGCUUAACACAUGCAAGUCGAACGCAUCGCAAGAUGAGUGGCAGACGGGUGAGUAACGCGUGGGAACAUACCCUUUUCUACGGAAUAGCUCUGGGAAACUGGAAUUAAUACCGGAUACGCCCUACGGGGGAAAGAUUUAUCGGGGAAGGAUUGGCCCGCGUUGGAUUAGCUAGUUGGUGGGGUAAAGGCCUACCAAGGCGACGAUCCAUAGCUGGUCUGAGAGGAUGAUCAGCCACAUUGGGACUGAGACACGGCCCAAACUCCUACGGGAGGCAGCAGUGGGGAAUAUUGGACAAUGGGCGCAAGCCUGAUCCAGCCAUGCCGCGUGAGUGAUGAAGGUCUUAGGGUUGUAAAGCUCUUUCACCGAUGAAGAUAAUGACGGUAGUCGGAGAAGAAGCCCCGGCUAACUUCGUGCCAGCAGCCGCGGUAA
rnacentral:rRNA from 1 species